rnacentral:lncRNA from 1 species
AUCCGAUGGUAGCCGUUUGCUCUUCUCCAUGGGUGUAUUGCUUGUGCCCAACUCUAACUCUUAUCAGUUCAUCUCUUUUUCAAGAGUGAGGGAAAUACAUUGGAAGCUAAAUAUGAAAAAAUAUUGAAAACCUGUUUGGAUAUUCCGACAAGAAGAUCCUGCAGGAAGCAAGUUUGUUGGCUUGCUCAGCCUAUAUGUUUUAAAUAGGCCCACUGGUCUGCACGAAGAAAAACAAACUCAUGGAGAUC